rnacentral:rRNA from 1 species
ACUCAAAGAAAUUGACGGGGGUCCGCACAAGCGGUGGAACAUGUGGUUUAAUUCGACACUACGCGAGAAACCUUACCUAGGCUUGACAUGUAUUUGAUCGCUGUAGAAAUACAGUUUUCCGAGCUUGCUUGGACAGAUACACAGGUGCUGCAUGGCUGUCGUCAGCCCGUGUCGUGAGAUGUUAGGUUAAGUCCUCUAACGAGCGCAACUCCUAUCGUCAGUUGCAAUCCUUUUGGAGCACUCUGACGAGACUGCCUGGGAAACCAGGAGGAAGGUGGGAAUGACGUCAAGUCCUCAUGGUCCUUAUGUCUAGGGCUACACACGUGUUACAAUGGCCAAUACAACGGGUUGCGACAUUGCAAGAUGAAGCUAAUCCCUUAAAGUCGGUCUAAGUUCGGAUUGAGGUCUGCAAUUCGACCUCAUGAAGUUGAAAUCGCUAGUAAUCGCGUAUCAGAACGAUGCGGUGAAUGCGUUCUCGGACCUUGUACACACCGCCCGUCACACCACGAGAGUUGUUUGUACCCAAAGUUGCUUUAGCCAACCGUUAAGGAGGCGAGUACCUAAGGUAUGGGUAACGAUUGGGGUGAAGUCGUAACAAGGUAACCAAGGGCGAA